UACGUAGGGGGGCAAGCGUUGUCCGGAUUUAUUGGGCGUAAAGAGCGUGUAGGCGGCCACACAGGUCAGCUGUGAAAACUCGAGGCUCAACCUCGAGACGUCGGUUGAAACCGUAUGGCUAGAGUCCGGAAGAGGAGAGUGGAAUUCCCGGUGUAGCGGUGAAAUGCGCAGAUAUCGGGAAGAACACCCGUGGCGAAGGCGGCUCUCUGGGACGGUACUGGACGCUGAGACGCGAAAAGCGUGGGGAGCGAACAGG
rnacentral:rRNA from 1 species